AGAGUUUGAUCAUGGCUCAGGAUGAACGCUGGCGGCGUGCUUAACACAUGCAAGUCGAACGGAGUUUUAAACGGAAGUUUUCGGAUGGAAGUUUAAGAACUUAGUGGCGGACGGGUGAGUAACGCGUGGGUAACCUGCCUCAUACAGGGGGAUAACAGUUAGAAAUGACUGCUAACACCGCAUAAUAUAGUGAAACCGCAUGAUUUUUGCUAUCAAAUAUUUUAUAGGUAUGAGAUGGGCCCGCGUCUGAUUAGCUAGUUGGUGGGGUAAAAGCCUACCAAGGCGACGAUCAGUAGCCGGCUUGAGAGAGUGACCGGCCACAUUGGGACUGAGACACGGCCCAAACUCCUACGGGAGGCAGCAGUGGGAAUAUUGGACAAUGGGGGAAACCCUGAUCCAGCGACGCCGCGUGAGUGAAGAAGUAUUUCGGUAUGUAAAGCUCUAUCAGCAGGGAAGAUAAUGACAGUACCUGACUAAGAAGCCCCGGCUAACUACGUGCCAGCCGCGGC
rnacentral:rRNA from 1 species